AAGAUUUCUGAGGAGUCUUGGCUCAAACCAAUCAUUGGGAAAUGAACUAGAAUGUGAGGGAAGCCUUUCCACCAAAGGAAUUCAUCUAACUCCUCACGAGUUCAUAGAUCAGGACGAUUCAAGCUCUAGUGUUGAAAAACAGGUGUUCCUCACAAUAUAUUUAAUUCCCUUUGAUUGGCUGAUCUUUUUGAGGAGAUCUUUUGGGAACAUGUUUGUUAUGUUGUUGGAAAACUAUGGCUAAAAUUUCGUGAUUUUUUGAGGUCGUUUGGUCGAGUUUUGGAUUUUUUUCUUCUGUCCUCACGAAGGCUGAUUUCUG
rnacentral:lncRNA from 1 species